GGAAAUCCCGCAAGCUGCUGCGCUGUUCCGGCCCAGUCUCUGAGGUCAGGUUCAAAACUCGAUGUCUAAGGUCCUCCAUUCUGAUUUUAAAUUUAUCUCCCAAAUUUCUCUUAUUCCAGAUUAGGGCCUUGGUGACAGCCUCCUGCACACGAUCAGUGGGCUGGCCCUGGCGGUAUUCAUCAUCCAAAUAUUCCAGACUGUUUUGCUCGCGGAGACCGCUUGCCGAACUCUUCCCGACUGGGCAACGAUUUUCCAGUUUCGCUAUCUCUGUAGCUUCUUCAGGGAAAGAGAUCUAAUUCUCAUCGGUUAGGGUUUUUAAGGGGGCCUUGGUGACAGCCUCCUGCACACGAUCAGUGGGCUGGCCCUGGCGGUAUUCAUCAUCCAAAUAUUCCAGACUGUUUUGCUCGCGGAGACCGCUUGCCGAACUCUUCCCGACUGGGCAACGAUUUUCCAGUUUCGCUAUCUCUGUAGCUUCUUCAGGGAAAGAGAUCUAAUUCUCAUCGGUUAGGGUUUUUAAGGGGCCCAUGAUCUCCAGGGACUGGAUCCCAUGUUGCUGGAAGUGUCUGCUAAUGGGUAUGGAUUGGUCCCCCCUUGUGAUGUUGCUGAUGUGUCCUGU